rnacentral:rRNA from 1 species
UACAGAGGGUGCGAGCGUUAAUCGGAAUUAGCUAGGGCGUAAAGCGCGCGUAGGCGGCUUUGCAAGUCGGGUGUGAAAUCCCCAGGCUUAACCUGGGAACUGCAUUCGAGACUGCAUUGCUAGAGUAUGGAGAGGGAAGUGGAAUUUCCGGUGUAGCGGUGAAAUGCGUAGAUAUCGGAAGGAACAUCAGUGGCGAAAGCGACUUCCUGGACCAAUACUGACGCUCAUGUGACGGAAGCUGGGGAGCAAACAGG